rnacentral:rRNA from 1 species
UGGGGAAUAUUGGACAAUGGGCGAAAGCCUGAUCCAGCCAUGCCGCGUGAGUGACGAAGGCCUUAGGGUUGUAAAACUCUUUCGGCGGGGAAGAUAAUGACGGUACCCGCAGAAUAAGCUCCGGCUAACUUCGUGCCAGCAGCCGCGGUAAUACGAAGGGAGCUAGCGUUGUUCGGAAUCACUGGGCGUAAAGCGCACGUAGGCGGAUUGUUUAGUCAGGGGUGAAAUCCCGGGGCUCAACCUCGGAACUGCCUUUGAUACUGGCAAUCUCGAGUCCGAUAGAGGUGGGUGGAAUUCCUAGUGUAGAGGUGAAAUUCGUAGAUAUUAGGAAGAACACCGGUGGCGAAGGCGGCCCACUGGAUCGGUACUGACGCUGAGGUGCGAAAGCGUGGGGAGCAAACAGGAUUAGAUACCCGAGUAGUCCCUGAGCGGGCUGGCAAGGCGCAU